rnacentral:lncRNA from 1 species
UUUGGAGAGAGAAAAAGGACGAGAGACUUUUCAUUCUUUUUGGCUGAGUUACAGAAUUUUUUCCCUUUUCUCUCUCUGGCGAUUUCUUCUCCUCUUUCUGGUUUUACUUUGUUAUACACUUCUCAGUUAAAUCCUGGUUUUAGAUUAGCCCUUGUAAUAUCAUGAUGCUACAGUAACUCGAGGCGUGAUUCUGAGCCUCUGCUAUUUUCUGUUUAGUUUACUGUUGGCUAGGGCUAAGUGUUGUGAAAAGGAUUUAUGUUUGGUUUCGUAGAUCUUUUGAUCGAUGAUCGAAACUUGUGUAUUCUGAGUGGUUUGAUGUAACUUUGGUUCUCUUGGACGGCGAUUUGCAUAGUGGAACGGGUUCAGUUCCUGAGCCCCCCAGAUUAGGCCCCGUUUGGCCGAACUGGGUCACCAACUCUGAUGUUCUAUCUAUUUUUCGUUUUUAUUAUGAGCACUUAAUUUUACAGUGUUAGAUUAUAGGUUUUAAUCAUCAGCUUGUAUCCCAACAUCUACAUUGCCAGAC